rnacentral:misc_RNA from 1 species
UUUCCGUAGGUGAACCUGCGGAAGGAUCAUUAUUGUAGAACCGAGGUACGAGGACUGUCGCUGUCCCGACUGGUCGCGCACGCCCGAGUGCCCUCACACACAUCCAUCUCACCCCUAUGUGCACCACCGCGCGCGUCCCCCUUGGGCUUGUCCGGCGGGGGGCUUACGUUUUCACUCAAUCUUUGGUUGCAGUGUAGAAUGUAUUUUUUGUUUUUGCGAUCACACCGUCUCUACAACUUUCAACAACGGAACACUUCGCUCCCGCAUCGAUGAAGACCG